rnacentral:lncRNA from 1 species
UCCAAAUUUUUUGAGGAAUCUCCAUACUACUUUCCAAAGUGGCUGAUUUUCUAAAAAGAUUAAGUAAAACCUGAUUUUUUAAAAUUAUAAUGAAGACAGAGACAAAUCUACAAUUAUGGUGAAAAUUUUCAAUUUCCUCUCAAUUAUUAGUGGAAUGAGUAGGAAGAAAAUGAGCAAAGGACUGGCGGAUCUGAAUCAGUCAGUCAAUAGGCUCUGAUAGCUUUUUAUAAAGUGUCCCACCCAACGACAGUGGAUGACCUUCUCUCAUGUGCCCAAAGAACCUUCAACACAGACUGUAUUCUGUACCAUAAAACAAGUCUUAAUGAAGUCAAAGGAUUUAAGUCAGACAAAGCAUGCACUGGCACCAUAAUGGAGUUAAAAUUGAAAUGGAUGGAUCCACAGAUACUGGAAGCAGACUAGGGGGUGUGGGGGUGCAGUGAGGAAGGUGAAGGCUGACCUGGUGGACAAGGCCUUUCCCAGGAGGGAUGAACAUGUUCAGCAACAAGAGCUGAAGCUUGCACCGUGUGGUUGCCCCUGAUUCUACACUUUAAAAUGGUUGAUUUUAUGUCAGAUACUUUUUACCUCAAUUCAAAAAAUCAAAAGCUAUAUAUGUGGGAAGCCCCAAAUAGUCGGAAAUUUAAAAGCAUGCACUCACACGGCUAUGGGCCACAGAAGAAAUCAAAAGGGAAAGUGUUUGAAUUCAAGGAAAAAAUGUCCAUCAUUGCAAAGAUGUUUCUGGCGCAGUCCUGGGCAGGGACCUGGGGUUUGCAGCAGUAAGCACCUGAAAAAAGAAAAAAAGAUCAGAUCUCAGUCCACUCUCCACCUUAAGAAGUAAAGAGCAAACUAAACCCAAAUGAGUAGAAGAAUAGAAAUUAAAAGGUCAGAGUGGAAAUCAGUGAAUUAGAAUCAGAAAAGAGGAAGCCUACAAAGACAAAGCUGGUUCUUUGAAGGACCAAUAAGUUAACACCUUCUAGUCAACUUGAUCAGACAAAAAAGAAAGGACAUAUGCAGCUAAUGUCAAAAAGGAGGCAACGUUGCCACAGACUCCACAGAGAGUGAAAGCAGAGAAAGGGAACGUCAUGAACUUGCAACUCAGGUGAGCAGACUCCUUUAAAGCAUGACCCACCAAGUCCCUGGAGGAAAGAGGUGACUUACAGCUCUGUGCCCACGAAUCUACUCUGGAUUGGGAGUACUCUCACAGAGGAGAAGCCAGGCUCAGGUGACUUUACGAUGAAUUCUACCAAAUAUGCAAGAAAAAUAAUACCAGCUCUGCACAGAUCCUUCCAGAAAGUAGAAAAAGAGGGCAUAUAUCCCAACUUUUCUAUGAGUCUACUAUUGCCCUGAUUCCAAAAUAGGACAAAGACAUUGCAAACAACAACAACAACAACAACAAAAUCGAUAUUUCUCAUGAAUAAAAGUACAAAAAAUCCUAAACGAAAAUCUAGAAAAUUAAAUCCAACAACAUAUAAAAAAGGUAAUACAUCAUAACCAAGUUAGGGUUAUCUCAGGAAUAAUUUUACAUUUAAAAAAUGUGGUUCAGCAUAUUUUUUGACCCAAUAAAUAAAAACCAUAUGAUGCAGGAAUAUUGUUUGACAAAGCCAGGCGCUGUGGAGCACGCCCGUAAUCCCAGCAGCUCAGGAGGCUGAGGCAGGAGGAUGGCGAGUUCAAAGCCAGCCUUAAGAAAAGCGAGGCACUAAGCAGCUCAGUAAGACUCUAAAUAAAAUACAAACUUGGGCUGGGGAUGUGGCUCAGUGGUCAAGUGCCCCUGAGUUCAAUCCAAGGUACCCCCGCAACACACAUACACACAAAAAUCCAUAUACAGAAGAGGGACAUUUCCUCAACCCAAGGAAAGGUAUCUAUUAACAAACUAUAGCUAAAGUCAUCCUUAUUGACAAGACUGAAUGUUUCCUUCUUUUAAUUAGGACGAACGCAAGGAAGUAUCUUUGUACCACUUUUAUCCAACAUUAUUUAGGAAAUUCUAGCCAGUGCAAUAAGUCAAGAAAAAGACAGUAAAAGGAUCCAGCUUGGGUAGGAAGAAGCUUGACAGUAACAUGAUGGUAUAGAAAAUUAUUUGCAAUGUACUGAUUAAACAUUAAAGCUACUAGUAAAGCUAGAUUAAAGCUCAUAAGCAAAUUAAGUUAAAGCUAACCAAUGAGUUUAAUCAGGUCACAAGACAGAAGAACAAUAUGCAAAAAUCAAUCGUAUAUUUCUAUGAACUAGGAACUAUCAAUCAGAUAGUAAAAAUUCAAAAAUAGUAUCAUUUAUGGUAGCAUUAAAAAAUGAAAUUUUACCCCCAAAAUGUGAAAAUUUGUACCGUAAGAACUACAAAGCAUUGUUGAGAAAAAUUAAAAGACCUAAGUGAAUGAAGAACCAUAUGGUUCAUGGAUCAGAACAGUUAAUUGUUAGGAUGUCAAUUCUCCCUACAUUAUCUGCAGGAUUUUUAAUAGAAAUAGAAUGAAAUUAAAUUUCAUAUGGGAAUGCAAAAGGCCUUACACAGCCAACACAACUUUGGAAAAGAACAGUAUUAGACAUCUAAUGCUACUUGAUUUUAAGUCCUGUUAUAGAGUUACAGGAAUUGAGAGUAUAUUUUUAGAGUAAGAGCAGGCCAACAGAUCAAUCUGGCGCAGCCCAGAAGCAGGCACACACAUACAUCAGGGACUGGCUCCCAACAGAGGAGCCCAAGCUGUCCACAGCAGGAAGGACACUGUUUAAAUGGUGCUAGAAUAACUGGAAGCAUAUGUCCAGAAAGCGGAAGUCCAAGUCCUACCUCAUACUGCAUGUAAAAGUCAGCUCAAAAUGGCUUGUGGUCCUAGGCAGAAGACCUAAAGUUAUAAAACAUCUAGAAGAAUACAGAAAACACCUCUGUGGCCUCAGAUUUGGCACACUUUUUUGGGGGGGAUACUAGGUAUUGAACCUAGAUGCACUUUACCACUCAAUCACAACCCCAGUCACAUAUAUACAUAUAUGU